rnacentral:ncRNA from 1 species
GUUGAGUUUUAUUCUUGCUCAGUUUUGUUCAAUUGUUUGCUUGUUUUAUAUGUAAGUUUGUGCGUGAUUUGUUCUGUAAUUGGUUCUAGAUGGGCUGUAGGUUAAUUUGUUUACGUUUGUAUUUAAUUCUCAUUAGUUAUUGUUAUGUUAUCAAGUGUUCUUGUAUUUAGCAAUGCAUUUAGUUUCGGUUAAAUUUUGUGCCAGCAGCCGCGGUUAUACCUUGGAGGCGAUUGAACUUGUUUGGCUGGAGGUAGUUGUAUAAUAUUUUUUGAUGUUGCGGGUUUACUUUGAUGGUUAUUGGGUGAAAUUUUUAUUUUUAGUUUUUUCCGUUUAUUUGUUUGGAGGCUAUGAAAUUCUUAUUCUUAAACUAGGAUUAGAUACCCUAUUAUUUUUGGAUGUUAAUGUUUUGCCUGAGUAGUAUUAGUUAUGUUCUUGAAACUUAAAGAAUUUGGCGGUAUCUUAUUCCGUUCAGAGGAACCUGUCUCGUUAUCGAUAGUCCGCGUUGGACCUUACUUAGUUGUUUAAUUGGUUUGUAUACCGCCGUUUAUUGAUUAUCUUUUUAGAGAUAUAAUUUUCUCGUUUCUUUAUUUGGUUUAAUUUCAGGUCAAGGUGCAGCUUUCUCUAAGUGUAUUGGUGGGUUACAUUGUUAUUUGUUGAUUUGGAUUGUUGGUUUUAAUUACUGGCAUGAAAUUGGAUUUGAUUGUAAUGUUUUGAAGAUUGUUUUUGUGAUAAUUGGUUCUGAGAUAUGUACACAUCGCCCGUCGCUCUCGUUUGUAUUUGUUAAUGAGAUAAGUCGUAACAAAGUGGUUGUACCGGAAGGUGUAGCUGGAGUGAU